rnacentral:tRNA from 1 species
GCGGGUAUGGCGAAAUUGGCAGACGCACUAGACUUAGGAUCUAACGCCUUUGGCGUGCAGGUUCGACUCCUGUUACCCGCACCA